AGUGGCGGACGGGUGAGUAACGCGUGAGAAUCUGCCUUGGGGUCGGGGACAACCACUGGAAACGGUGGCUAAUACCGGAUAAGCCGAUUGGUGAAAGAUUUAUUGCCCGAAGAGGAGCUCGCGUCUGAUUAGCUAGUUGGUGAGGUAAGAGCCCACCAAGGCAGCGAUCAGUAGCUGGUCUGAGAGGACGAUCAGCCACACUGGGACUGAGACACGGCCCAGACUCCUACGGGAGGCAGCAGUGGGGAAUUUUCCGCAAUGGGCGAAAGCCUGACGGAGCAAGACCGCGUGAGGGAGGAAGGCUCUUGGGUUGUAAACCUCUUUUCUCAGGGAAGAAGCUCUGACGGUACCUGAGGAAUCAGCCUCGGCUAACUCCGUGCCAGCAGCCGCGGUAAUACGGAGGAGGCAAGCGUUAUCCGGAAUUAUUGGGCGUAAAGCGUCCGCAGGUGGCGAUUCAAGUCUGCUGUCAAAGCACGGGGCUUAACUCCGUAAAGGCAGUGGAAACUGAAUAGCUAGAGUGCCGUAGGGGUAGAGGGAAUUCCCGGUGUAGCGGUGAAAUGCGUAGAGAUCGGGAAGAACAUCGGUGGCGAAAGCGCUCUACUGGACGGCAACUGACACUCAGGGACGAAAGCUAGGGGAGCGAAUGGGAUUAGAUACCCC
rnacentral:rRNA from 1 species